rnacentral:snRNA from 1 species
UUGCUUCAGCAGCACUUAUGCUAAAAUUAAAAAGAUACAGAGAAGAUUCGCAUGGCCCCUGUGCAAGGAUCUCAUGCAGAUUCAUGAAAUGUUCCAUAUAUAU